rnacentral:rRNA from 1 species
ACGGGAGGCAGCAGUGGGGAAUAUUGGGCAAUGGGCGAAAGCCUGACCCAGCAACGCCGCGUGAAGGAAGAAGGCCUUCGGGUUGUAAACUUCUUUUGUCAGGGACGAAGGACGUGACGGUACCUGACGAAUAAGCAACGGCUAACUACGUGCCAGCAGCCGCGGUAAUACGUAGGCUGCAAGCGUUGUCCGGAUUUACUGGGUGUAAAGGGCGUGUAGGCGGUUCUGCAAGUCAGAUGUGAAAUCCCGGGGCUCAACCCCGGAACUGCAUUUGAAACUGUAGACCUUGAGUAUCGGAGAGGCAAGCGGAAUUCCUAGUGUAGCGGUGAAAUGCGUAGAUAUUAGGAGGAACACCAGUGGCGAAGGCGGCUUGCUGGGCUCUAACUGACGCUGAGGCUCGAAAGUGUGGGGAGCAAACAGGAUUAGAUACCCUGGUA